AAUAGAGAUAUAUUCAUGUCACUAUUUAUAUCAUAUUUAUGUGAUUUUUUCUGUACCUGAAGUUCUAAUAAAAUUGUCUGUCUUGACAGGGAUAAUUUUUAUGUGUAAACAGAGACUUUUCUCAAACAUUUUAGCCAGUGUCAUGGUAGCUGUAAACUGAAGGAGAUAUUCAUUCUUUUCCCCACGCCAAGCUCAUUCCUGCUGCCAAGUUCUUGCAGGCCCCUGAACUUUUUCUCCACUCUGGAAAGCAGCUUUCUCUAGAGGUCACAUCAAGCAUCAGCAAUUUUUGCAGAUUACACUUAACAGCAAGCUAAUUCCCCAUGUUUCCAGUGAGCACAGCAUUAGCUGCUGAAUUUCCCGCCCCUGCUGGCCCCAUGUUGCUUGCCACAGGAGCAGAGAGGUAGGAAAGCCUACUCCAGCCAAGGCUCACAUGGAGCUGAAUCUCCAGAAGAUUUUUCCUCCCUGUACAACUCAUCUGCACGUCAUGAAACUGCAAUUUCUCGAAUGUCCCACACAGAAAUAAACCAGUCUUUCAAAAAUUAAUCCUCCUUCCCCACUGCAAAAGUGUUUCAGGAACAGUGCAACAGGUUUACCCUUACCAAAUUCUAAACAAGCAGAAAAAAAUAUUUCAGUAUGAAAAUAAAAUUACCAUCAAGUGGUGUUUUAUUACCAGUGUAGCUUGGGGGAUGUUAUCUGCAUAACUCCCUUUUAAUACCAGUUUAUACAAAAGACAGCCAUUUUGGUUACCCUCUAAGCAUAACAUUGCAAGUUUAUCCUAGAUACUAUUCAGUGUACUACACCUUUUUGCACAUAUAUUUAUUUUUAUACAGGAUGUGCCACAUUAACUUUGAAAAAGGACAGCUGAGACUGUACAGUAGCUGUUUCAUGAUAGACCUGGAAUCCAUAAUUUCAGCGUUCACUCCAUUUGAAUUUGUUUGGCCAGUUACUUACUGAGGGGCCUGCUACUUUGUCAACAAAGGUGUCAUACAACACACAUCAACUGUCUACGGCUUUCUUCAUCACAGUCUGCUUAGAUGUCUAGACCACUAUGACUGCAUUGGAUGAGAGUGAUUAAGAUGUUACCAGAGGGGAAAGGACUGUUGCUAAUCUCUACAACGCUUUGAGUUUUGUCUCUAAUUCAGUGGUGUGAAGCUGAAAACUUUGAGAAGGUAGACAGUCGGACAGACUGCUCACAACUAUAAAGAAAAUAGUUUAAACAUGAGUUAAUAUUUUCUUUGUUGUUACUCACCAAGACAAGGGUAACAUGACCACAUCUCAACAAAUAUUAAAAAUUGUUUAAAUACUUACCUAUUUUGUUACAAAUUUUUAAAAUAAAAUACUGUUUACUCAUAUGAUAGAAAACA
rnacentral:lncRNA from 1 species